AUACGUAAGGGGCGAGCGUUGUCCGGAUUCACUGGGCGUAAAGGGCGCGUAGGCGGCGAUACAAGUCAGAGGUGAAAGCUAUGGGCUCAACCCAUAAACGGCCUUUGAAACUGUAUUGCUUGAGUAUUGCAGAGGAAAGUGGAAUUCAUGGUGUAGCGGUGAAAUGCGUAGAUAUCAUGGAGAACACCUAUGGCGAAGGCAGCUUUCUGGGCAAAUACUGACGCUGAGGCGCGAAAGCUAGGGUAGCGAACAGGAUUAGAAACCCUAGUAGUCC
rnacentral:rRNA from 1 species